rnacentral:rRNA from 1 species
AUGAGGCUCCUCGACGCAGUGGAGCACCACCCGGAUGCCCCCACGCCUGGGCGCCGGCGGCCUGACGUAGUUGAGCGCCGCGACGAAAUUGACGUGGUCGUUGAGCGGGAACACGUACCCGGGCGCACCGAAGCCGUAGUCCACCUCGUCGAAGCCGAGACGACUCCAGUCCGACAACGUCACUGUGCUGUAGUCCAGCGGCGGCACGUCGUACUGCUCGACGCCGCGCAUCCAGCCCGCGAACCGAGCGGGAACCGCCUCCUUCGCCUCCCGUACCGCGCCGACCACCUCCGCCAGCGUGGCCUCCCGGACGGCCCUGCCGGUCCUCGUGGCGCACGCCAGGAAUACGCAGUUGCCGUAGUAGCCCUCCACCGUCGGCAGCACGCCGCGGAGAAGGUGCCGCGUGCUGGCGGCAAAGGCCAUCCGGACCUCGGCGUCGUCGGGGAGCGCCGACGCCAGCGCCAGCGCGCGGCACUUGAACACCACGGCCGUCACCGCGUCAAAGGUGGAGCACACCUCCCCCAUCGAUGUCGCGGCAGCCUGCUUGAACUCGUCCUUCACGCGCGCGAUGCUCUCCGCCGAGAUGUCGGCCACCUGGGUCACGAGCCUGAACUCCGUGAGCUGCCCCGGCAGCGGGCUUGGAGGGUCUGGGAUCGCGUCGCGGUCCCACACCGGAGCCACUGA